rnacentral:rRNA from 1 species
GCAUUACCAUGCAGUCGAACGGUGAACACGAGAGCUUGCUCUGUGGGAUCAGUGGCGAACGGGUGAGUAACACGUGAGCAACCUGCCCCUGACUCUGGGAUAAGCGCUGGAAACGGCGUCUAAUACUGGAUACGAACCACGAAGGCAUCUUCAGUGGUUGGAAAGAAUUUCGGUUGGGGAUGGGCUCGCGGCCUAUCAGCUUGUUGGUGAGGUAAUGGCUCACCAAGGCGUCGACGGGUAGCCGGCCUGAGAGGGUGACCGGCCACACUGGGACUGAGACACGGCCCAGACUCCUACGGGAGGCAGCAGUGGGGAAUAUUGCACAAUGGGCGAAAGCCUGAUGCAGCAACGCCGCGUGAGGGAUGACGGCCUUCGGGUUGUAAACCUCUUUUAGCAGGGAAGAAGCGAAAGUGACGGUACCUGCAGAAAAAGCGCCGGCUAACUACGUGCCAGCAGCCGCGGUAAUACGUAGGGCGCAAGCGUUAUCCGGAAUUAUUGGGCGUAAAGAGCUCGUAGGCGGUUUGUCGCGUCUGCUGUGAAAUCCGGAGGCUCAACCUCCGGCCUGCAGUGGGUACGGGCAGACUAGAGUGCGGUAGGGGAGAUUGGAAUUCCUGGUGUAGCGGUGGAAUGCGCAGAUAUCAGGAGGAACACCGAUGGCGAAGGCAGAUCUCUGGGCCGUAACUGACGCUGAGGAGCGAAAGGGUGGGGAGCAAACAGGCUUAGAUACCCUGGUAGUCCACCCCGUAAACGUUGGGAACUAGUUGUGGGGUCCAUUCCACGGAUUCCGUGACGCAGCUAACGCAUUAAGUUCCCCGCCUGGGGAGUACGGCCGCAAGGCUAAAACUCAAAGGAAUUGACGGGGACCCGCACAAGCGGCGGAGCAUGCGGAUUAAUUCGAUGCAACGCGAAGAACCUUACCAAGGCUUGACAUAUACGAGAACGGGCCAGAAAUGGUCAACUCUUUGGACACUCGUAAACAGGUGGUGCAUGGUUGUCGUCAGCUCGUGUCGUGAGAUGUUGGGUUAGUCCCGC